rnacentral:rRNA from 1 species
UACGGAGGGUGCAAGCGUUAUCCGGAUUCACUGGGUUUAAAGGGUGCGUAGGUGGGUUUGUAAGUCAGUGGUGAAAUCUCCGUGCUUAACAUGGAAACUGCCAUUGAUACUACAGGUCUUGAAUUUUCCGGAGGUCAGCGGAAUAUGUCAUGUAGCGGUGAAAUGCUUAGAUAUGACAUAGAACACCGAUUGCGAAGGCAGCUGACUACAGGGACGAUUGACACUGAGGACGAAAGCGUGGGGAUCAAACAGGG